CCUACGGGGUGCAGCAGUGAGGAAUAUUGGUCAAUGGACGAGAGUCUGAACCAGCCAAGUAGCGUGAAGGAUGACUGCCCUAUGGGUUGUAAACUUCUUUUAUAUGGGAAUAAAAUGUUCCACGUGUGGGAUUUUGUAUGUACCAUAUGAAUAAGGAUCGGCUAACUCCGUGCCAGCAGCCGCGGUAAUACGGAGGAUCCGAGCGUUAUCCGGAUUUAUUGGGUUUAAAGGGAGCGUAGGUGGAUUGUUAAGUCAGUUGUGAAAGUUUGCGGCUCAACCGUAAAAUUGCAGUUGAAACUGGCAGUCUGGAGUACAGUAGAGGUGGGCGGAAUUCGUGGUGUAGCGGUGAAAUGCUUAGAUAUCACGAAGAACUCCGAUUGCGAAGGCAGCUCACUGGACUGCAACUGACACUGAGGCGCGAAAGUGUGGGUAUCAAACAGGAUUAGAUACCCUUGUAGUC
rnacentral:rRNA from 1 species